GCCCCCGUUGUGUAGCGGCCUAGCACGCGCCCCUCAAGGCGGUAGCGCCGGUUCGAAUCCGGUCGGGGGUA
rnacentral:tRNA from 1 species